GCUCGCCAAAUCACUACGAGUGAAAACUUAAAAUUUAAAGGACUUGACGGUGUCCUAUACCCAACCUAGAGGAGCCUGUCUAUUAACCGAUAACCCACGAUUAACCCUACCACCCACAGGCCACACAGUCUAUAUACCGCCGUCGAUUAGCCUAUCUUACAAAAGAAGCAAAAUGAGCUAAAUAGUUUCACACUAACACGACAGGUCGAGGUGUAACUAAUGGGGUGGAAAAAGAUGGGCUACAUUACUCAAUCCGAGUAAUACGAACAAGACUAUGAAACUAGUCCUCAAAGGCGGAUUUAGUAGUAAGCUAGGAAUAAAAUACCUAACUGAACACAAUGCAAUGGGACGCGUACACACCGCCCGUCAUCCCUGUCAAAAUAAACAUACAUAUAUAUAAUUAACUAACCAACACAAAGACAGGGCAAGUCGUAACAUGGUAAGCGUACUGGAAAGUGUGCUUAGAAC
rnacentral:rRNA from 1 species